rnacentral:rRNA from 1 species
GACGAAGGUGGCGAGCGUUGUUCGGAUUCACUGGGCGUAAAGGGUGCGUAGGCGGUCGGGUAAGUCUGAUGUGAAAUCUCACAGCUUAACUGUGAAACUGCAUUGGAUACUAUCCGGCUCGAGGAAUGGAGGGGAGACUGGAAUACUUGGUGUAGCAGUGAAAUGCGUAGAUAUCAAGUGGAACACCAGUGGCGAAGGCGAGUCUCUGGACAUUUCCUGACGCUGAGGCACGAAAGCCAGGGGAGCAAACGGG